rnacentral:rRNA from 1 species
AACAGGAUUAGAUACCCUGGUAGUCCACGCCGUAAACUAUGGAUGCUAGCUGUAAGAAGUAUCGACCCUUCUUGUAGCGAAGCUAACGCGUUAAGCAUCCCGCCUGUGGAGUACGGUCGCAAGACUAAAACAUAAAGGAAUUGACGGGGACCCGCACAAGCGGUGGAGCGUGUUGUUUAAUUCGAUGGUAAGCGAAGAACCUUACCCAGGCUUGACAUCCUGUGAAGGUCUCCGAAAGGAGACUGUGCCUUCGGGAAUACAGUGACAGGUGAUGCAUGGCCGUCGUCAGCUCGUGUCGUGAGAUGUUUGGUUGAGUCCAUCAACGAGCGCAACCCUUGUAGUUAGUUGUAUUUUUCUAGCUAGACUGCCCUGGUAACAGGGAGGAAGGGGGGGAUGAUGUCAGGUCAGUAUUUCCCUUACGUCUGGGGCUACAAACACGCUACAAUGGCCGGUACAAAGGGCAGCCAAAGCGCAAGCUGGAGCAAAUCCCAUCAAAGCCGGUCCCAGUUCGGAUAGCAGGCUGAAACUCGCCUGCUUGAAGAUAGAAUCGCUAGUAACGGUAGGUCAGCACACUACCGUGAAUACGUUCCCGGGUCUUGUACACACCGCCCGUCAAACCAUGAAAGUCGCCAAUACCUGACGUGUUAGCUUUGCCUAGCCCUAAGGUAGGGGAGAUGAUUGGGGUUAAGUCGUAACAAGGUAACC